UGAAUACGAGAUGCUACGGCGUCGAAGCAGUCUAUGUCAUACUUCCAAGAAAAGCUUGCACUGUCAUAAACAAAUAAUGCCUGUACCAUAACCGACACAGGUGGGUAGGUAGAGUAUACUAAGGGGCGCGAGAUAACUCUCUCUAAGGAACUCGGCAAAAUGACUCCGUAACUUCGGGAGAAGGAGUGCCUUAUUUUAUAAGGUUGCAAUAACAAGAUCCAAGCAACUGUUUACCAAAAACACAGGUCUCCGCUAAGUCGUAAGACGAUGUAUGGGGGCUGACGCCUGCCCAGUGCCAGAAGGUUAAAGAAGUUGGUUAGCAUCCGCGAAGCUGAUAACUGAAGCCCUGGUGAACGGCGGCCGUAACAAUAACGGUCCUAAGGUAGCGAAAUUCCUUGUCGGGUAAGUUCCGACCCGCACGAAAGGCGUAAUGAUUUGGAUACUGUCUCAGAGAGGGGCUCGGUGAAAUAGACUUGUCUGUGAAGAUGCGGACUACCUGCACCAGGACAGAAAGACCCUAUGAAGCUUUACUGUAACUUGAAAUUGAAAUUGGACUUUACUUGCGCAGUAUAGGUGGGAGGCGUUGAGAAUAUUCUUCGGGAAUGUUGGAGCCAUCAGUGAGAUACCACUCUUGUAAUGUUAGAUUUCUAACUUUGUAUCAUUAUCUGGUCAAAGGACAGUUUCAGGCGGGCAGUUUGACUGGGGCGGUCGCCUCCCAAACGGUAACGGAGGCGCACAAAGGUUUCCUCUGAACGGGUAGAAAUCGUAUCUAGAGUGUAAAGGCAUAAGGAAGCUUGACUGUGAGACCUACAAGUCGAGCAGGGACGAAAGUCGGUCUUAGUGAUCUGACGGUGCUGAGUGGAAAGGCCGUCACUCAACGGAUAAAAGUUACUCUAAGGAUAACAGGCUGAUCUCCCCCAAGAGUUCACAUCGACGGGGAGGUUUGGCACCUCGAUGUCGGCUCAUCGCAUCCUGGGGCGGUAGUACGUCCCAAGGGUUGGGCUGUUCGCCCAUGAAAGCGGUACGCGAGCUGGGUUCAGAACGUCGUGAGACAGUUCGGUCCAUAUCCGGUGUAGGCGUUAGAAUAUUGAGAGGAGCCUUCUUUAGUACGAGAGGACCGAGAAGGACAUACCUCUGGUGUACCAGUUAUCGUGCCAACGGUAAACGCUGGGUAGCUAUGUAUGGAGUGGAUAACCGCUGAAAGCAUCUAAGUGGGAAGCCCACCUCAAGAUAAG
rnacentral:rRNA from 1 species